GAGAGAGAGAGAGAGGGAGAGGGGGGGGGAGGUAGAGAGAGAGAGAGAGAGAGAGAGAGAGAGAGAGAGAGAGAGAGAGAGAGAGAGAGAGAGAGAGAGAGAGAGAGAGAAAAAAUUGAAAAAGGAAACAAUUUCAAUUUCACAUUGUCUUGAAACUAUUUGGUGAACACUUCUGUGUUGUCCUUGACAGAAGAUAACGGUGAGGACUCUUAAUCACCAAUCAAUGCAGAACUAUUGGAAACAAACUAGUUCCUCUGACCUGUAUUGUGCAUGUUCAUAUAUGAGAGGUGUGGUUCACAACCCUUUGAAGAUACGACUACAAAAAAAAAGUGAUCUGGUUCAGAUGCAAAUCAAUUAGUUGCUUUUUGUUAGGUUGUUUCCUAUGUUCAAAUAAAGGAUAGGGGAAAUACUAAUAUUUGAAGGGUUAAGAUGCAGUGAUGUCAUGCUGUCAACUCUAUUUGAACAAUACGAGAAGAUAACCUUUUUAAAUGCUGGAUCUUAAUUCAUUGAUAUCAAUGGCAAUUCUUUGUUACCUUACUACCUAAUUAUUAAGUCUAGUGCAGGGUAUUUCAAGUUCACACUAAUGUAAUGUAAUGUCACUAAUUGGAGUUAGGAUUGUUUAGGCAUUUUAUCUGACUGAUGGUAUCUCUGAUGAUUCAUAAUAUAUGCUUCAUAACAUCCUUUUUUUUAAUUUAAGUUUGUAUGUUCAUUGAUAUCAAUGGCAAUUGUUUUCUACCUACCUACCUACCUACCUACCUACCUACCUACCUACCUACCUACCUACCUACCUACCUACCUACCUACCUACCUACCUACCUAUGUAUUAAGUCUAGUUCAAGGUAUUUCAAGUUCACAUUUAAUGUCAAUCAUUAGAGUUAGGAUGGUUUAGCCAUUUCAUCUGACUGAUAGUAUCUCUGUUGUUUCAUAACGUAUGCUUCAUAACAUCCUUUUUUUUAAGUUUGUAAAUAUCUAUUUUGAUUUACCCAUUGACAUGUAGGCUUGACACAUUAAAUUUGUCAGUGAUCAAUUGGCUACAAAAUUACAUUGUGGUUGUUAACCUUAAAGGUACACUAUAUGUUUAAGAAUAACAUGUCUUUCGGGGAUUGAACUGUUUUGAUGUAUUCUUGAAUGUUUGCUAUCCUUUUGUAGUAAAAAUGUUUCUUAAAUACUUGCCUCCCUCUAUUACAACUACUAAAAUGACCACUAAAAUACUGUUACUACAACUACUACAAAUAAUAAUCAUAAUAAAUAACUCAUACAAUAA
ensembl:lncRNA